rnacentral:rRNA from 1 species
UACGGGGGGUGCGAGCGUUGUCCGGAAUCACUGGGCGUAAAGGGCGCGUAGGUGGUUUGAUAAGGGUGUGGUGAAAGUCCGGGGCUCAACCCCGGGUCGGCCGUGCGAACUGUCGAGCUGGAGCACUGUAGAGGCAGGUGGAAUUCCGGGUGUAGCGGUGGAAUGCGUAGAGAUCCGGAAGAACACCGGUGGCGAAGGCGGCCUGCUGGGCAGUGGCUGACGCUGAGGCGCGACAGCGUGGGGAGCAAACAGG